GCCUCGGUAGCGCAGUAGGCAGCGCGUCAGUCUCAUAAUCUCUCAUUGCGAGAAAUCUGAAGGUUGUGAGUUCGAUCCUCACUUGGGGCA
rnacentral:tRNA from 1 species